CCAAUAGCGUAUAUUAAAGUUGUUGCAGUUAAAAAGCUCGUAGUUGAAUUUCGGGGUUAGUAGGUUGGUCAUGCCACUGGUAUGUACUGAUCUUACUGAUUCCUCCUUCCUGAUGAACCGUAAUGCCAUUAAUUUGGUGUUGCGGGGAGACUGGACUGUUACUUUGAAAAAAUUAGAGUGUUUAAAGCAGGCUAACGCUUGAAUACAUUAGCAUGGAAUAAUGAAAUAGGACGUUCGAUCCUAUUUUGUUGGUUUCUAGGAUUGACGUAAUGAUUAAUAGGGAUAGUUGGGGGCAUUAGUAUUCAAUUGUCAGAGGUGAAAUUCUUGGAUUUAUUGAAGACUAACUACUGCGAAAGCAUUUGCCAAGGAUGUUUUCAUUAAUCAAGAACGAAAGUUAGGGGAUCGAAGACGAUCAGAUACCGUCGUAGUCUUAACCAUAAACUAUGCCGACUAGGGAUCGGAUGAUGUUAAUUUUAUAAUGACUCAUUCGGCGCCUUACG
rnacentral:rRNA from 1 species